CAGCUGCGGUGUUUCCAUGUUUCCGAGUUGUUUCCCAGUAGUUCCUCUCAGUUCCAUUUCCAGUUGUUUCCAAGCCAUUAAAUUCUUUCCAGGCGAGAUAAGGGUCCCGCCUGUCCCACCCAGGGUGUGUCACGUGUAGGGGGGAGGUUCAGACGAACAGAAGCAGGAGAGCCUGGAAGGGGGAUGGAGCGAAGACGGAGCCCCUGUGCCCCAGGAGGCAUCUCUCAGUCGUCACAGCCCCGCUGAACCCAGAGGCUCACUGAGCCGCCACCCGACCGUCGAUCUGGGCUGCGACAGUGAGAAGGAGGGAGUCUGCUGCGAGCAGGGGGAGGAGAAGGGGAGGACCAGCAUGAGCAAAUUCCUGGAGAAAUGACGGAUGAGGCUUGGGCACUGGCUGGACAAGGGCUUGGCUGAAGACCAGGACAUAGGAGACUUGGGAAAGAAGGGGCUGAAAAGGAGACUUUGGCCAGAUGAGAAAUAUCCAGGCUGAGGGAGACCCCAUCCCAGGCUUCACACAGAGGAUAAAGUUCUUGCCACCCAGCUACAAUCCUCACCAUUGAGGAGUAGCUUGGUCAAGUCACAGGUCAUGGGUGAAAGGGACGGGCAGGAGGCUGUGUGUGCCCGAUUCUGCCGCUUGUGUUGGGGCACAGGUGUCCGUACCCUGGUCAGGUCCCCAGGGUCGUGGGUGUGGUGAUCCUGGGUCAGGGUGCGCUGGCCCAGCACCUGGCUGUGCCCUAUGCCCUGUGAACUCCCACUGGCUGAGGGCGAAGGCUUGCAUGUUCCCUCGCGUGGGUGUCCCCGUGUGUCCGUGUGUCUGGGUGUGUGUGUGGCUGUUUUUUUUUUAGUGGCUUUGAUGGGGAGGAUGAAAUCAGCUUCUUGGAUAGAGCUGGGCUCAGCUUCCUUCCUCUGCCUUGGCCCGAAGCCCCCAGAGCCUGGAAUAGGGGACACGGGUUCGAGCCCUGGUCCAGGAAGACCCCGCAUGCUGCGAAGCGACUAAGCCCGUGCGCCACAACUACUGAAGCCCGCGUGCCUAGAGCCCGCGCUCCACCACAAGAGAAGCCACCGCAGUGAGAAGCUCACCCACCGCAACGAAGAGUAGCCCCCGCUCUCCACAACUAGAGAAAGCCCGCGCGCAGCAACGAAGACACAACGCAGCCAAAAAUUUUAUAACUAAAAUAAAUAAAUAAAUGCCUGUCAA